GGGACAGCGGAAGUUAGACGUGUGUCUCCAGAAAUCCGUCCGUGCGGGAGCAACAAUCACAGACAAGAUGGAGACCGUAAAUGCUGGACAAAUGAUGAGUUUAGCAGCUCUACAGAGACAAGACCCGUACAUUAACAGGCUGCUCGAUGUUACCGGUCAGGUGGCUCUCUACAACUUCAACUCCAAAGCGAACGAAUGGGAGAAAACCGAAAUCGAGGGCACCCUGUUUGUUUAUGCAAGGUCUGCCUCGCCUCACCAUGGUUUCACCAUCAUGAACCGACUGAGCACAGAGAAUCUAGUGGAGCCGAUCAACAAAGACCUGGAGUUCCAGCUGCAGGAUCCCUUCCUGCUCUAUAGGAACGGCAACUUGGGUAUCUACAGUAUUUGGUUCUAUGACAAGAGGGACUGUCAACGCAUUGCUCAGCUGAUGGCCAAGAUUAUGAAACAAGAAGCAGACCAUGCCCAAAGAGAGUCGCCUCAGAGGGCGGAGCCUGGAAGGACCAAUGGUGUCGCAGAACCACGGCCCAUCGACAUCCUAGAACUGCUCAGCAAAGCCAAGGAGGAAUAUCAGAGAGCUCUAACUGGUGAAACAGAUGUGUUUGCAGAGCUUAAUGUGAAAUCAGCCAUCGCCACAGAGCAUGCCCACAGCACACCACAACCUGAAAAGAGCUCUCAUGCAAUGGUGAAGCAGAUCACAGUUGAGGAGCUCUUUGGCUCGUCCCUCUCUAAAGACCCCUCUCUACCCACCAUGCCCACACAGAACACCAACACUGCUUCCAGUGGCCCCUCCGCUGCUUACCUCCAGAACCAGUCUUAUCCCUCUCCAGCCCGCCAACACCCAGUCUUUCCUCCCCAUGUCACAUCCCAAGACCCUGGUUCAAGCCAGCAGCACCAAGUCCAUGGCCUGCUCCCAUCUCCAUACACGCUACACCCUAGCCCUGUUUUUCAGUCAGUGGUCCCCAGGUCAGACCCCCAACCUCAGUGCUCAGUCUCCCCUCUCAUGGUGCUUCCAGCUGGCUCAGAGCCUCGUGCUCUCCCUGGUCCUGCAGCACCAUCAGCAGCUCCUACGGCCUAUUUGGGACAGGAGAUACUAAACACCCUCAAAGCAGCAGUGCCGUCUGUGAAUUCGGAUAUCCAUAAACCCAUCCUCGCACCAAACUUUCUGCCAAGCAUGCUGUUCCCACCCCACAGCUUCCAAGAGCCAAUGGGGAAACCUAUUCCUCAGCAAAGCAAGGACAUGGAUGUUUUCUCUCAGCCUCCAAACCUGAUUAAACCAAUGUCUGCUGUCCCCAUUAGUCCAGGUCUUGCUGUUCCAAGGCCGGCAAAUUCUGUGCUCCUCUCCCCCAGCGUCUUCCAGCAGUCCAUCAGUAAGACGACAGCAGCAGCAUCAGUGGUCCCUCAUGCCCCCUCCGAGCCCUCCUCCUCUGUAGGAGCUUUAGAGCCUCCACAAGCAAUCUGCAGCAUAACACAGCUACAAGAUACUCUGAUACACCUCAUUAAGAAUGACCCAGAGUUCCUCAGUGCCAUUCAUGAUGCUUACCUGCAGAGUGUGUCCAAGGACUUCAGCAACAUGAAGCUAUAGUAGACUUCAAGCGUCACUACUGAAACUUUCAGUGCUACCGCCCCUUUGUAACCUUCUGAAGAAUCCAGAAGUUAAUGGGAAUUAAAAUCAGUGCAGAUAACAGUAAAAGGCUACUGCAGCACAAAACCGUACACCCUGCAGACCGCAGUGGGAACAGGAAGAAGCACAUCUGUCUCCUCACGGGCAACGCUGUGUGGCUUUUAAUGCAGUACUUGAACAAAGAAAACUGAUCUAAUGUUCAUCAGAAAAUAAGCUUUCAAAGAUUUAGAAAAAAGGUUUAUGUGGCUUGUUGGCAUUUUUGAACACCCACAUAGAUUACUAAAGUUUCAUUUACAACCAAAUUUUCAGCACAUACAAGACCAUUACAAAAGUCUAAAAAUAAUGUAAAGGCAUGAGAACAAAUGGUAAGUGAUGUUUGACAUCAGUUGUCAGCUCAAGGCUACUUCACACGUUACUUUUCACAUGUCUAUACUAUCGUUAUCUAAGCAAUCAAUAUAUCAAGUCAUUCCACAUGGAAACCGUAGUACUUUUAUUUUUUUUAGGUUUUGCAAACAUGGAUUGCAGAGAUUAUGGCUCUUUUCAGUCAUGGAACAUGCAGAAAGUAUUGUAAUCAACAUUUGUAAAUAACUGGAGGGAUUUGAAUUUCUGCAUAAAUACCGGUCUUGAUUGUGAUAUCACAACUUGCAUUUGGUCCUGCUUUUUGAAUGUAUUUCAUUACUCGCAGUGUGUAUGUGUCAGUCUUGUUUUCUUGUGUCCAGCAUGAUUAGGUUGAACUUGGAUACACCUGCUUUCAGUACCAACUGUUAAUGACAUGGGAGCCAAUCAAACAAUUUGUACACUUCUUUUCCCCGUUAAAAUUUUCAUUUGCAGAUGUAAUCUUGCCAACAUUUCUGGCAUGUGUUGUUGAAUAAACACACACAGGAAGAAUAAUUGAAAUGUAGAGUUUUUUAAUCCCGGUCACAUAUUUAAGAUUUUAAGGUAUUUUACGCUUUGGUAUAAUUUAUCUUAUUGGCCAGAUACAUGAUUUUGAGAGUCUUUGCAAAUUAUAUACAUUUCAAGAUUGUUGCCACUGUACAUAAUUUGGUUUAUUUUGACUAUUUUGUGAUAUUAAAGAAUUGAUAAUA